rnacentral:misc_RNA from 1 species
UUAUAUUAUAGUUUUAUUUGUAGAAAAAUCAUUGUUUUCCAUUUGGACAAAAGUUGGAGAACAAAACUUUGGUUAUAAAAGAAAUAAGUGAAAAACAACUUAAAGUUGUUUUUGAAAUCUAGUUAAAUUUUGGAAAAAUAGCUAGUUUUCUAAUUCUUUAUUUGGAAAAUUGUCACAUUUGAAUACAAAAUUCUAUGUUUGAAUUUUCUUAUAAAACUUUUUCAGAAAAUCACUUCAAUUGUUCACAAGUAAAUAAGCCCUUAGAUUUCCCACCAAGUCCAAAGGUCAUUUGGGUAGGGGUGGCCACGGUCCCGUUUUGAACCGGAACCGGUUCGGACCAAAACCAGUCAAAACCGGAACCGGUUUCGAA